rnacentral:misc_RNA from 1 species
GAUGAGCAAGUCCCCUAACAAGCAUAACCGUUUGUACAUGGAGGCUAGACCAAUGGAGGAAGGGCUUGCUGAGGCUAUUGACGAGGGACGCAUUGGCCCUAGGGAUGACCCUAAGGUUCGUUCCAAGAUCUUGGCUGAGGAGUUUGGCUGGGACAAAGAUCUUGCAAAGAAGAUUUGGUGCUUUGGUCCUGAGACAACUGGUCCCAACAUGGUGGUGGAUAUGUGUAAGGGAGUUCAGUAC